rnacentral:rRNA from 1 species
GUUGCAAAGAACUUUGAAGAGAGAGUUCAAGAGAACGUGAAAUCGCUGAAGUGGAACCGGAGAGAGUUAACAUAACUUGGUAGCUAUAUUCUCUAUAGUCGCUUAGCUGUGGCUUUGGGGGGUGGACGCUACCUGUUGUUGCGCUGACUGCGUUGAUCAUGCUUUCCUAACAAUGUAGUGUUGCCCACAUUGUGGUGUCUUGCUUAUUGGGAGGUUUGUCAUGGUUAACGUCAAGCCUUAGUUUCUAGGGAGUCAGUGUGAAAGUUAACCACCUUUCCGACCCGUCUUGAAACACGGACCGAGGAGUGUAAUUUACACGCGAGUCAAAGGGCUGAGGAAACCUUAUGGCAUAAUGAAAGUAAAGACCGGUUAACCGGUUGACAUGGGAUCCGACUGAACUUCUUCGAAACGGAGCACCAUGGCCCUGUCUUGUCUGCUUGCAGAUGGGCAGCGGUAGAGCGUGUAGGUUGCGACCCGAAAGAUGGUGAACUAUGCUUGAGCAGGACGAAGCCAGAGGAAACUCUGGUGGAAGUCCGUAUCGGUUCUGACGUGCAAAUCGAUCGAUAGACU